GUUUUGGAAGUAAGACAGAGCGGGGAGGGGGGCUGAUGUAUAGAUGAGCGGAAUGAUGAUGAGUCUAAUUCAGAUAAGGGAACUGUUUAUGCUGUGGAGGCUGCGGUCACUCACUGGAUGUGCAGCGGGCGUCCGGCCAACCCGUAGCCCACAGAGACGGCCCGCUCCAGACCUCCCUGUCCUGUCAGCUGACUUCGUUUUCCCAGGGUCCCCCAAUCCAAGAGGCCAUCUGAGUCAACCUCUGCAAACACACAAGGAGGAGAAGCUGGAAAAAUGUUUAUGAUUCGCAAGCGAGCGGCCAAACGUCAGCGGCCAGACAACUAUUAGAAAUUAGCUCUCACACUGAGGCCCACUGCAAGGGGCCCAUUCAUGGGGCCGAGCGAGAUCGAAGGGAAGCACAAAGAGCUCCCCACACAGCGCAGAGGGCCGUGAGCUCAGCCACUGACCCCUGAAGGAUGUGUGUGGGACGCACCCAGACACACUGGCCCCGCCGACUCGGGCCACCAGGCUCCUCCCUCCUCUGGACUCGACCUUUCACUAAAACCCGUGCAACUCCCAGAACAACCCCCAAAAAGACUCACAGCUGUCAAUCGCAAAAUGCGCGCAGGAGAAAAGAGGGAACGACGUGGAGCCAUGAAGGCAGUUUACCGACCGCUGCCGGUGCCAGCUGAAAAACCUCUGAAGAGUUUCUCCCAUGUAAAGUUUUGGAAUACAGCGCGGAGCUUAAUAAACACCAAACACCGAACCCCAACGGUGCGAAUGAAAUAGCUAACAAACUAGCAGCUGAAAGCAACUGUAAAAGACACAUUGUCGAGUUGAACUCCCUGCCCUCUGCCAUAAAUUAAAGUACGAUAU